rnacentral:rRNA from 1 species
CACGGUAGGGCGCAAGCGUUGUCCGGAAUUAUUGGGCGUAAAGAGCUCGUAGGCGGUCUGUUACGUCUGCUGUGAAAACCCGGGGCUUAACCCUGGGCUUGCAGUGGAUACGGGCAGACUAGAGGCAGGUAGGGGAGAAUGGAAUUCCCGGUGUAGCGGUGAAAUGCGCAGAUAUCAGGAGGAACACCGGUGGCGAAGGCGGGACUCUGGGCCGAUACUGACGCUGAGGAGCGAAAGCGUGGGGAGCAAACAGG